AUGUUAAACCGGCACAACGCUUGAGCAAGGUCGUGGCCGAUUUAAUUUGUUGGAAUGAGAAAUAAAGCAAAAACGUUACCUUUGAUUUGACUCAGGAACACAAUGGCUGGAACACGUCCUCUUGGAUUCACUCUCGGAAAACAAAAUGUGCAGCACAGGACAUGGAUUAACGCAUCGAAGGAAUGGUGUUGCAGAUGCAGCCAGGAUGGCCGGCAAUAUGCGCUAUCCACAAUGCCCAGUGGAAGGUGAAUUCUUUGAAGCAGAACCAGCCACCAUACGACCAAAGAAAAAAGAUCGGAAGAGCCGAAAGGGAAAAAGGGGGUGUCGGUGUUCGUGUGUGUGUUUUUGCUGUUGUUACUGGAAGCUCCUUUGGUUGCUUUGUGCAAAAAUUUUGUAGCUGCUGCUGCAAUGUACGGCUGCUUCAGAUAGGCUCAAAUUGGAAUCCUCGGAUUGGCUCAAAAAGCUGGGCGCUGGCAAGUGGAAAAUGUUACGGCGUUGAAGGACCAGUAUGUUAAACCGGCACAACGCUUGAGCAAGGUCGUGGCCGAUUUAAUUUGUUGGAAUGAGAAAUAAAGCAAAAACGUUACCUUUGAUUUGACUCAGGAACACAAUGGCUGGAACACGUCCUCUUGGAUUCACUCUCGGAAAACAAGUAAGUGACCGG